GCUUCAGUCUCAGUGUCUCUGGUUGUAAAUGACUCUGUGACAGCUGCACGACUGGAGGAGCAGGAGGAAGCUGGAAGUGCAGCGAACAGACCAAACCUCUUCUGGUGGCAAUUAUGAGAAACGUGGAGCUGUGAUUUUUUUACUUUUUAAUUCCUCAUCCAUUUGACUUCAGACAAGAUUGAAAUGAAUGCAGUGCAAAUUCUGCAACUUCAUUCACGCCAAUGACACACUAAACACUACCGCCUUCAUCACAGCCCAUGGUGUCAGAGGUUCAGGAGAGGUGGCCUGCUCUGUUCUGUGAAGCAGAGAUAAAGGAAGAGUUUUAACAAGAACCUGAUAGACAGCUUCAGAGCAGCCAUUCAUCAAUCAAUCAAUCAAUCAAAUUUUAUUUGUAUAGCCCAUAUUCACAAAUCACAAUUUGUCUCAUAGGGCUUUAACAUGGUGUGACAUCCUCUGCC